UAUCCCUAGCAAAUGCACGCAUCAAUACACCGUAAAAAAUACGUUACUGCGCAUACCGCUUCACGCAGGGUUUACCAGAGAGAACCGUGCGCAGAUUAGCAGUAGGUAGAUUUGGCGAUACGAAAGAUAAACAAACUGGCGACAUCCGGACCAUCCACAGUAAGGAAACGAAUUGUCCAGUUAUAGGAAGUUCACAGAUGCAGCAUCUUAACAGGGAUCUCUCUUCAUUUAUAUGUCCUUUAGUUGCGAACUUUUAUUGCCAAUAAACUUAGAAACAGUUUGAAAUGACUAUAAAUAACCUAUUUUAUUGGUACUUAGCUGUCUAAACAUUUGAGUGGCACGAGCGAAAUAAAACACCUUUAUUAUCUUUCAUUUCCGAUAAGGUUAAUUCAAAAUUCUUAUGAAGAUAAUAGUUUCCCUUCGUGACAUCUGCUGAUAACAGGAUGUGAGAUAAACCUUUUCUCUUUGGUGUUUUUAAUUUGCUGACAUUAUCUACCCACUUCAAAGUCUUUCGUCUUUCAAGUAGAAUUCAUAAAAUUCUAAAAUGUCGAACGAUAUCAACUUGUAUUUAUUUGCUACAAAUGUUUUGGCUCCGUGGAUAAUUGGAGUAAUAUCAUUCCUUUUCGUACUUAUAGGAGCAUUUAUGUGUUAUGCGAUUGGAGCUGCAGUAAGACUUCGUCAUAGAUUGGAAAAAUUUGCUAUAUAUGUACAAGAAGUUGAUGAUGAUCAUUACAAACUAGUGACGCUUGACGAAGCAUAACUGGAUCUUUUGGAUCAUGAUUUUAGUUUCUGAUUUCUCUUUAACAUUUAAAGUUUGAGAAAUUAUAGAAACUUGAAUGAGCUCACCCUGAAAUACAUAAAACUUCAUGUUUCUAUUAUAAUGAAUUUGUUACAUACAUCGAAUAGAAUAAAAGUUUGAUUGUGCAAUAUUUGCCAAUUGUUUUAUAUUUCUUUAUUAUAUUUCAAAUACUUUUUUGAGAUUAACAUUGAAAAUGAAGCUGUGUUCUUUUUUGAGAUUAACAUUGAAAAUGAAGCUGUGUUUGAUUCUUCUACAAAUGUGAUUUUUCAGGAUUCAUCCCUGAUAAACAAAAUUGAAGAAAUAAGUUUCAUUCACAUUUAAAUAUAAAAAUAGUUGUUAUAUAUUCUACUACUCUGUUUUUAAUUUAAAAGAGUGAUAAAUUACUUUGUCUUCGAUGGUUCCGAACUUAAGUGUUCAGUUGUGCGAAACUUUAACAUCUUUACUGUAUAUUCGCCAUAUAUAUUUUUAAAAAAAUAUGUUUAUGGUCCUUGAAAUUAUCUUCUUCUAAAAAAGACUUCUGCCCUCAUAUUUGUGAAUACUGCCUGAUGAAUUCUACAAUAUGUAUCUUCAAAAAUAAGACAGAGAUUAACUUCCUGAUUUGAAGACAAACUAAAAUUGUUUUGGGAUGGGCCUUCCAAGUCUGAGUUCAGGUUAAAUGAUGAUAACUUCACUUGAAUCAGCAUCCUAUUCUUCAAGCCUCCGCACCACACCAGUGUAGAGUCAUCUGACCAAGGAUUUGAUGUGCAACAGACCGACAUAGCAGCGGAUCUUUGUAAGAGUCGGAUCUUGAAUCUAUGGUUCAUCCCCCUCCCAUCCUACAGCUAAGAUAAAAUCUGUAGAUCUUAUAUAUCAUCAAAUAAUAUGUAUCUUAAAUUAGAACUGAAUAAUAAAAAUAAAAAAAAUCCCA